rnacentral:rRNA from 1 species
CGACUCUCGACAACGGAUAUCCCGGCUCUCGCAUCGAURAARAACGUAGCGAAAUGCGAUACUUGGUGUGAAUUGCAGAAUCCCGUGAACCAUCGAGUCUUUGAACGCAAGUUGCGCCCGAAGCCUUUUGGCCGAGGGCACGUCUGCCUGGGUGUCACGC